AAGCGUGCGCAGGCGGUUUUGUAAGUCAGAUGUGAAAUCCCCGAGCUCAACUUGGGAACUGCGUUUGAAACUACAAGACUAGAAUAUGUCAGAGGGGGGUAGAAUUCCACGUGUAGCAGUGAAAUGCGUAGAGAUGUGGAGGAAUACCAAUGGCGAAGGCAGCCCCCUGGGAUAAUAUUGACGCUCAUGCACGAAAGCGUGGGGGGCAAACAGGAUUAGAUACCCUGGUAGUCCACGCCCUAAACGAUGUCUACUAGUUGUUGGUGGAGUAAAAUCCAUGAGUAACGCAGUUAACGCGUGAAGUAGACCGCCUGGGGAGUACGGUCGCAAGAUUAAAACUCAAAUGAAUUGACGGGGGCCCGCACAAGCGGUGGAUUAUGUGGAUUAAUUCGAUGCAACGCGAAAAACCUUACCUGGCCUUGACAUGUAACGAACUUUCCAGAGAUGGAUUGGUGCUCGAAAGAGAGCGUUAACACAGGUGCUGCAUGGCUGUCGUCAGCUCGUGUCGUGAGAUGUUGGGUUAAGUCCCGCAACGAGCGCAACCCUUGCCAUUAAUUGCCAUCAUUUAGUUGGGCACUUUAAUGGGACUGCCGGUGACAAACCGGAGGAAGGUGGGGAUGACGUCAAGUCCUCAUGGCCCUUAUGGCCAGGGCUUCACACGUAAUACAAUGGUCGGUACAGAGGGUUGCCAAGCCGCGAGGUGGAGCCAAUCCCAGAAAGCCGAUCGUAGUCCGGAUUGUAGUCUGCAACUCGACUACAUGAAGUCGGAAUCGCUAGUAAUCGCGGAUCAGCAUGUCGCGGUGAAUACGUUCCCGGGGCCUUGUACACACCGCCCGUCACACCAUGGGAGUGGGUUUUACCAGAAGUAGGUAGUCUAACCUUCGGGAGGACGCUUACCACGGUAGUAUUCAUGACUGGGGUGAAGUCGUAACAAGGUAA
rnacentral:rRNA from 1 species